UGCGUAGGCGGAUUAAUAAGUCAGUGGUGAAAUCUUUCGGCUCAACCGAGAAACUGCCAUUGAUACUGUUAAUCUUGAGUUCGGUUGAGGUAGGCGGAAUGUGUAAUGUAGCGGUGAAAUGCUUAGAUAUUACACAGAACACCAAUUGCGUAGGCAGCUUACUAGACCGACACUGACGCUGAGGCACGAAAGCGUGGGGAGCGAACAGGAUUAGAUACCCUGGUAGUUCC
rnacentral:rRNA from 1 species